GCACCCGUAGCUCAGUGGAUAGAGCACUAGUCUUCGGAACUAGGUGUCGGAGGUUCGAAUCCUUCCGGGUGUA
rnacentral:tRNA from 1 species